UUUCAACCACAGGUGAACUUAUUUUUCUACUGGGUGGUGUAAAGCGGAUUUAAUCGAGGUUUGUACUGAAGCGGAUCCAGAUGGUGCUCCUGUCCGUGUUUUUACGCUUGCCUACAAUUGUUGGGUCUGAUUUCACCGUCCCCUUGCUUGCUUCUGUCCGCCAUUUCGCGUUGUUCCGCAGGGCUCAUCGCAAGUCGCGUCAUGGAAGAACAAUAAAGCGUCUUUGUUUCACUGCAGCUGACGAGUGGAAACGCAGAAGAGGCAGUGCACGAAAUACACGAUACACCCUGCAUGUCGAGAAAAUACUAAUUAUAACAACGGUUUAUUAUUUUGUUCUGGUUCAUUUGAUUCUGCAACCACCAUUUGAGAUUACAACCAGUACCCGGAAAUAAGCCAUUUUGUCGUUUUUUAUUUAGGCUACAUGUAGCUAUUAUUCUUGUAGGUGGUAGCCUAAAUUUUGGAAAUGAUGCAAAAAUAAAUAUAAAUACCAGUACCAUUUUCAUUGGCGUUUUUUUGCAACUUGUAACUGUGAGCCCUAGAAUAAAUGUUUUAUGGUUGCUGAAUAUGUUGAGCUAUUUGAAUAAGCAGAAGCGUCGUCUUGUGGUAGGCCUAUAGGCUACCACAUUGGUAUACGGUAAUUCCAAAUCGCAAGGAAAUUAUAAUUUUUUAUAAUCGCCCACGGGUAUAAACUGGACGCUAAAUCAUAUACCUGAAUAAAUACUUUUUCCUGUAGUUUGUUCUGUAUAUCUGCAGUAUUUUAUUAAACACUUGAGCACUUGACAUUUGGGUGGGGCGAAAAUCAUUUAGUCAGGUUGUUAAAACCUUUAUUGUCUUCUAACCCUAAUACAUUACAAAAGCAAGCAAAGGGUCGUCUUUCUACUUGUACUUUGCAUUUCACAUGGAUGUAUUUAAAUGGAAAGACAGACAGCCAGACUGCAUUCUAAGCAUCCUGCACAUGACCACUGCAUUUUUAAAAUAGCAUAUAAACUUGAAAGAACUUGUAAA
ensembl:lncRNA